rnacentral:rRNA from 1 species
GGGUGCAAGCGUUAAUCGGAAUUACUGGGCGUAAAGCGUGCGCAGGCGGUUGUGUAAGUCUGUCGUGAAAUCCCCGGGCUCAACCUGGGAAUUGCGAUGGAGACUGCACGGCUAGAGUGUGUCAGAGGGGGGUAGAAUUCCACGUGUAGCAGUGAAAUGCGUAGAUAUGUGGAGGAACACCGAUGGCGAAGGCAGCCCCCUGGGAUAACACUGACGCUCAUGCACGAAAGCGUGGGGAGCAA